AGAGUUUGAUCAUGGCUCAGGAUGAACGCUAGCGGGAGGCCUAACACAUGCAAGCCGAGCGGUAGAGAUUCUUCGGGAUCUUGAGAGCGGCGUACGGGUGCGGAACACGUGUGCAACCUACCUUUAUCUGGAGGAUAGCCUUUCGAAAGGAAGAUUAAUACUCCAUAAUAUAUUGAUUGGCAUCGAUUGAUAUUGAAAGCUCCGGCGGAUAGAGAUGGGCACGCGCAAGAUUAGCUAGUUGGUGAGGUAACGGCUCACCAAGGCGAUGAUCUUUAGGGGCCUGAGAGGGUGAUCCCCCACACUGGUACUGAGACACGGACCAGACUCCUACGGGAGGCAGCAGUGAGGAAUAUUGGUCAAUGGGUGCAAGCCUGAACCAGCCAUCCCGCGUGAAGGACGACUGCCCUAUGGGUUGUAAACUUCUUUUGUAUAGGGAUAAACCUACCCUCGUGAGGGUAGCUGAAGGUACUAUACGAAUAAGCACCGGCUAACUCCGUG
rnacentral:rRNA from 1 species